rnacentral:rRNA from 1 species
UGGGGGAUGACGUCAAGUCCUCAUGGCCCUUAUGGGUAGGGCGUUCACACGUCAUACAAUGGUCGGUACAGAGGGUUGCCAAGCCGCGAGGCGGAGCCAAUCCCACAAAGCCGAUCGUAGUCCGGAUUGUUCUCUGCAACUCGAGAGCAUGAAGUCGGAAUCGCUAGUAAUCGCAGGUCAGCAUACUGCGGUGAAUACGUUCCCGGGUCUU